CGUUCUCCCCAGACGAGACGAAGGUAACGCUGGCGCCGUCCUCGUUACAACGACUACCGCUGCCCAUGCACUACCACCGAUCACACCACCUGCUGGGCUGGUUUGGUUACUACGUUCCGAAGAGGACGACGACGUACAGAAGUAGUUGAAUCAAGAAGGUGUCCCUCUCUAUUUAAGAAGUGAACAAGUGUCACAUUAGACGUCUAAUGAAGGUAAUUAGUGGAUCACGAGGACAAUCACUCUAAGUAGAUCAUAAAGAAAAACGUUUCGUACGUUACCAGACCUCAUGAACUAGUACCGGGCUACCUCGUACAGCGAUGUCGUCGAUCUUCGUUAGGUAAAAUAAUUUACGUAAGACCAAUCCUAAACCAGUACCGUCGUGGAACGAUAAAAGAAAAGAAAUUUAUACCAACGUUCAAAUGAUAAAAAGGUCUUGGUAGUAGAAUGUAAAACCCGUAGCCCGUAACUUUAAAUCCGUAAAUACAUAUCAAAAUCAAGACCUACACAGGAUACGUUUGUAAUGAUAGUUAAUAGUUCAACUAAGAUUUUACAGAGUAAUUGAUUUAAAAUCUACCACUAAAGAUCUAAAUCAUGGUUAAAUAACAACCGGACCGGAUACGAGUCAUGGAACGAGAUAUGGUUAAAUAACGUAAUAAGACAAUAAAUGCCAAUUUAUACGAUAGUAAUUGAGACUCUUUUACAAUACAAAAACGACUAAUCACCGUCAUGUAGAAACGAAAUGAUAAGGAUCGUCAGUCACCGCCUCGGUUCCCCCCCGCUCGUCCCCGGACGGGGGGGGGAUUGCUAGCUGUUAAAUAAGUCUCCGAUGCUCAUUAAUCGAUGACUUGACUCUUUAUAUGCAUGAUACCGGGGGGGAGUUGGGUUUGCUUCCGAUACUUCUUUAGACCCUUUUUCCGGGUAUUUUUUCGGGUGAGCACCGGUAUCUGAGAUCAUGAACCGGGGACCGCAAUUCGGUUGGGGGGUCGCACUAAUUGGACUUCGCUAAUCGAAACGGCCGCCGGCGACGGAGCAUGGGAGUGAUGAGUGCCUCAGUUAAUUUUAGUCCGCUGUGUCCGAAGACUUGACCGUUUAGUAUGCCUAUGGAGAGUUGAGACACUUAAGAGAUCGACAAGUCCGUGUUCCAAUCGUGAUAACUCUUGAUGACAUAGAUGAUUAGGGAGAGUUGAGAUUAGAAUAUGUACAACUUCAACAGUAAACUACGAUUAUUUAAAAUAAAAUAAAAGUAACAAACUAAACACUACGCCAGUACUUCUCUUUUCCCGACGUUUGUGGUAUUUCUAAUUAAGAGAAAAUUUCAUACAACAAAGCUCAAGAGGUGGAUCAUUACAACAAUUACACCGAUUACACGUUAAAAAUGGUUAGGGUCAAGUCACCGUUACUGAACGAACCGAUUAGAUAUAACUAUCCUUUAACGAUCGUUGAUCCAAUUGAUGAGUACUUUAGUAGUUAUAAAAACUAGAAUAACUGUUGACAUCCCCGUUUAUAUUUGGUUAUGUUUACAUUUAUAUAAAAUUAGUCAAAACGAUUUCAUGUAGAUCUACACAGGAUUCAUAAUUUUAGAUCCAGAAUACUGUAACUAAUAAAAAAUACGUUUCUAAUCACGCUUAUAAAGGAAAAAGGAAAAACACGUUAUUGAUUCGGUAUAUAACUAUACGGUAUCUGUCUGGGAUAAAAUCAACACAACUUCGUUGUGUUAUUAUAUCAUAAUACCAUGAAUAAAAAGACGUCACUCGUAAAAAGAAAUUACUUGUACUGAACCGGGGGGGAUAUAGGUUUAGGACCGAGGCGGGGACGAUCGUCGAUGUCAAGUAGAUGGUAUUUGUACAACACAUGUAAGACUUGGGGGUUUGUACUGUGUUCACUAUACAUAUACGUCGUCCCUUAGCAGGUGAACAUGUUAAACAAAUAACCUUACAUUGAACAUGUUAAAAAUGAACUUAUACAAGUCAAUACUUCAGCACAUCAACAAAAAAGAGUAGUCAAGAUUUGACGUCAUGAAAUGACUUAACAACUACUACGACUUAUUUAGAUCGAACAACCCAAGUCAGAGAACAAAUCUACCUUAUCGUGGGGUAGUGGACAACAACAACAACAAUAAGUGGGAUAGGAACGACAAGACAAAAAAACAACCAUCUAUAAAACUCAUUUAAGUUCUGCUUUCUACAAGUUUCUUCGAGGUUCUGUAAGAAUAUAUCGUUCAAUACAUUAUUAUCGACCCAAUAGACCCUUAAAUUACAUAGAAGAAAGACAAACACUUACUUUAUCAUUAAUACAUACACUUUAUUACAUAGAAGAGAGACAAACACUUAAAGUACAUACAAAGUCUUAAUGUUAAAGACAAAGUAUACUUUAUCAUUAAUACAUACACUAAACUUUUGCACACGUUACCUUUGUACUGAGUACGCUGGG
rnacentral:rRNA from 1 species